ACACAUCCUGUGCCGUUGUCUCUGUAUGUUGAACCAACACGAGAAAAAAACAACGAAAUAGAUGUAUGGAUCUCUGCUGUUCACAAGAUUGAUUUUUUUCAAGAAACAUAAUAAAAAACACGUUACUAUAAUUUUUCGAAUAUCUCAAAUGACUACAAGAAAGAGUUAGUUACACAAAUUCUCAACACGUCUCACAAAGUAAUUGGAUAACUCACGCAUUUUAUCCAUCCGUUUCUAAAACAAAAUGUUCUUUUAAGUAUGUAUUAUGUGGAAAACGUUAGCGUACAUGAA